CUAAUACAGACUCACUGUUUCUCAGAGGGGCACACGUCUCAGAAAAAGAAGGAUAUUUAUAUCCCAUCUUCCAGCUCGCUAAUGAAAAGCAUUUCACAUGUUCUAUCUCAGGAACGUAUUAAUUGGCAUAGCUAGAGUUAAUAAGCACAUUAAUGAGUCUCACACCCUUGAGAAGCUGUUGCCUUGACCUUUAAAUAUCCAGCAUCCCUGAC